rnacentral:rRNA from 1 species
AACUUUCAACAAAGGAUCUCUUGGCUCUCGCAUCGAUGAAGAACGUAGCAAAGCGCGAAAUGUAGUGUGAAUUGCAGAGCAUUGUGAAUCAUCGAAUCUUUGAACGCACAUUGCACCUCCCGUGAGGGAGGUAUGCCUGUCUGAGCGUCAUCG